rnacentral:misc_RNA from 1 species
GAAAUGCGAUAAGUAAUGUGAAUUGCAGAAUUCAGUGAAUCAUCGAAUCUUUGAACGCACCUUGCGCUCCUUGGUAUUCCUUGGAGCAUGCCUGUUUGAGUAUCAUGAAAUCUUCAAAGUAAAUCUUUUGUUAACUCAAUUGGUUUCUACUUUGGUAUUGGAGGUCUUUGCAGCUUCACACCUGCUCCUCUUUGUUCAUUAGCUGGAUCUCAGUGUUAUGCUUGGUUCCACUCGGCGUGAUAAGUUAUCUAUCGCUGAGGACACUGUAAAAGGUGGCCAAGGUAAAUGCAGAUGAACCGCUUCUAAUAGUCCAUUGACUUGGACAUUACUUUGAUGAUCUGAUCUCAAAUCAGGUAGGACUACCCGCUGAACUUAAGC